AGAAUCUUCUGCAAUGGACGAAAGUCUGACAGAGCGACGCCGCGUGGGUGAAGAAGGCCGGAAGGUUGUAAAGCCCUUUUCUAUCCGAGGAAUAACCAUUGGAGGCAAUGCCAGUGGGAUGACGGUAGGGUAGGAAUAAGCCCCGGCCAAUUACGUGCCAGCAGCCGCGGUAACACGUAUGGGGCGAGCGUUGUUCGGAAUCAUUGGGCGUAAAGGGCGCGUAGGCGGAAAUGCAAGCUUGGUGUGAAAUCCCGCAGCUCAACUGCGGAGGCGCGCUGAGAACUGCAUGUCUAGAGUUCAAGAGGGGAAGCUGGAAUUCCUGGUGUAGGGGUGAAAUCUGUAGAUAUCAGGAAGAACAUCAGUGGCGAAGGCGAGCUUCUGGCUAUGAACUGACGCUGAGGCGCGAAGCGUGGGGAGCGAACAGGAUUAGAUACCCGGGUAUUCC
rnacentral:rRNA from 1 species